rnacentral:lncRNA from 13 species
AAGUGCAUCAAAGAAGAGAAACCAGGAACAGUGUAAUUAGUACACAGUACAUGGUGGACUCCUAGAGGAGGUGGCAUCUGACUGCUGAAUAAAGUUCUUGAAAGUUCAGUUUCCAAGGAGUAGAAGAAGAAGAAAGUAAUGUCAAUGUAGUAAAGAAUGAAUGGAAGAAAAAGGAGAGAAGAUGAUGGUUCAGAGUUUUUCUCUUUUAAAAAAACAACACCAAAAGAAGACAAUCAUAUUGCAGCAGCAGUGCUCCUACCUCUGAACUAA